rnacentral:rRNA from 1 species
UGUGUAGGCGGCUUGGCAAGUCGGAUGUGAAAGCCCUGGGCUCAACCCAGGAAGUGCACUCGAUACUGCCGAGCUUGAGUAUCGGAGAGGUUGGUGGAAUUCUCGGUGUAGAGGUGAAAUUCGUAGAUAUCGAGAGGAACACCGGCGGCGAAGGCGGCCAACUGGACGAAUACUGACGCUGAGACACGAAAGCGUGGGGAGCAAACA